rnacentral:rRNA from 1 species
GACGAACGCUGGCGGCGCGCCUAACACAUGCAAGUCGAACGAGCGAGCGAGAGCUUGCUUUCUUGAGCGAGUGGCGAACGGGUGAGUAACGCGUGAGGAACCUGCCUCAAAGAGGGGGACAACAGUUGGAAACGACUGCUAAUACCGCAUAAGCCCACGACCCGGCAUCGGGUUGAGGGAAAAGGAGCAAUCCGCUUUGAGAUGGCCUCGCGUCCGAUUAGCUAGUUGGUGAGGUAACGGCCCACCAAGGCGACAAUCGGUAGCCGGACUGAGAGGUUGAACGGCCACAUUGGGACUGAGACACGGCCCAGACUCCUACGGGAGGCAGCAGUGGGGAAUAUUGCACAAUGGGGGAAACCCUGAUGCAGCGACGCCGCGUGGAGGAAGAAGGUCUUCGGAUUGUAAACUCCUGUUGUUGAGGAAGAUAAUGACGGUACUCAACAAGGAAGUGACGGCUAACUACGUG